CAAUUAUUAUGCUCCAGAUUUUGCAGUGGUAAUCAUGACAAAACUGUCAGUGUUCAUUACUUCACUGAAACUGACAGCAACUUCUGAUGUCGACACUCAUGCAGAAUAAUGCGGAAAUCCAGAAGCUGCUGUCAGUGAUUCCACGCUUCUCUGGAAGGCUGUGCUGGUGAAUUAUCGGCCACGCCCCCUGCCAGCCUGCAAUCAAUUGGAAAUCAUUGAACUGAUUGCAGCACAUAAGUGAAUCUGGCAGCAAUACAUUUAGGCUUGUAAGGUUGUCAAGAAGAUGCACCUGCACAAAGAGCAUACAGCACAUGGCAACUGAUGAACAGAAAUGAGUCCUCCUGCAAAAAGAAUGAAGUACAAAGCUGAUUUCAAGCCAUAAGUCGUAAUAUUUGCUAACUCAUCAAAUAAUUGUGCUGCAGCGAGGGAAAUCAGUGUUGGUGAAAAACUGGUUCAAGAAUGAAAGAAGAAAGAAUUCUCCAUAAAGAAAAUGCUCAAGACCAAAUGCACCAUGAGAACAGGGACCAGCUACUCGUCUAAUCUUGAAAAGCAUGUAUUGGAAUGGGUCCUUGAAAAUUGUCAGAAUGAUUACAUCAUCACCAGAAGUGCAAUAUGUAUAUAUGCAUGAGUGGACCAAAUUAAAGCCUGAGUCCAGCAGAAAUUUCAGAGCAACAAUUAGUUGGUGUAGCCACUUCACGGAACAAAAAGUGGCUACACCAGUAUUGGGGCAGAAGACCAAGGUUGCUCAGAAACUACCAAAAGAUUUUGAUGUCAAAGUUACCAGUUUCCAGCUUAUUAAUAUGGAAUGUUCAGAACCCAUAUAACUGAUGAGAUCAAGAGGCACCUGCGAAGAAAUACCAUCCAAUUUGCUAUUAUACCAGAGGUUCUAACAUCCAUAGAUCAAGAUUUGGAUGUGUGCCUCAACAAGCUCUUUCUUCAAGGAUCAUAUUCAUGCCAAAUGGAAUACGUGGAUGGCUGAGAAAAAACUCUUCAUAAAGAGUACAAAUAUGUGUGCUGUCUUGCUUGAAGUUUUGUGUGCUUUCACCAUCAAAUAGGGGAUGUUAUUAAUGUACAAACUGUCAUCAGAUCAUUCAAAAAUGCGGAAUGUCCAAUUCAACGGAUGGAGAAGAACAUGAUUUGUUGUGGAGGGAUGAUUGUGUAAUAGAAGCACCAAAUCUGAUCCUGAGUGGAAUCUUAAAAUGAUGCCAUAGUCAAAGCGUCUCAGGAUGAGCUUGACUGAACUUUUUGCAUUGGAUG